GGGCCUUUUUAUAGUUAAUGAGAAUCACUGAGGGAUGGCUUAGUGAAAGUUAGUGACAGUGUUUCAUCUUCUGGAGAGUUCAUCAAAUUUUUCCCCUCUUGGCCCAGUAUUUUUACACCUUUCUGGGGUGUUUCAAGGUAUACGCAUGUAUCCCAUUGCUUACAGAAUCAUAAAAAAGAGUUGAAAGAGACUGAGCUUACCUAGUCUACCCAGUGCAAAGAUAUUUCUUACAUUUCCUAGUCAAUUAUCCACUACAGUUUUCAACAUCACAAAUGAGGUGGGUUUGUACGCCAGCCUUUGAGAGACUUAGGCACGCUACAACAGCUUUCUUACAGUCCUCCAGGGAUGCCACUGGAUCCACAUAGCUGCAUGCACAAGUAAUGUUUUUUAUGACCUCUGGUUGACUAUUAGUAUGGGUCUGUGGCUCUCCGUUAUGCCUGUGUAUCUCAGAAGUAAUAUCGUUGAAGCCAUUCGGUUGCCCUUAACUACUACCAUAAUCUGUCCAGGGACUAUUCAAUCCUUUGAGAGGGAAUAUCUCCUUUUAAACAUGCAACCCAAAAAUCACUGCAUCCCACUCUAAGGCUUUUGUAGCAUUUGAAUUCCAGUCCUCCAAUGACCAUUCUGGCAAAAUCCAAACUAAGGUCAUGAAAUGUGCUUGUCUCUUAUAUCAGGUUCAGGGCCCUGUUCCUCCAGAUGAAUCAAACAGAAAAGACCAUACAGGACAAGCUGAUCACUGUAAAAAAACCCAAAACAAACCCAAUGGACAAAGUGAUAUAAAGAAAGCUAAAGUGUGAAAUGCUGCCUAGACUUGAGGAAUGUAAAAAGAUAACUGUUUGGGGAUUUAUGUUCAAAGAAAGAAGACAACUCCCCCAGUUAGACCCUUUAUCUCUCAACAUUGGUAGUCUGUGUGUGUGUUUGGGGGGGUGGGGGGUGUCUCCCGGACAACACAAAAGUUUGAAUGCAUAAACUAUUUUGAAAUGUUUGUAUAAUUUAAUCCAAAAAUAUGACUAUAUGUUUAUGCUUAAUUUUCAGCAGGACAAUCUUAGGAAAUAUCCAUAUGCAUCAUGUCAGCGGCACUGUAUAUAUUUCAGUUGGGUUAGCACAACUGUACUCUUACUGGCAGUAUCUUCUAAUCAUGAUGAGAAACUCCAGAUUAUCCAAAGGAGUCAUCUGUAAUGAAGCAGAUUAUAAACAAAGGGCCAGCACCCCAAUCUCAGUUGCACUGGUGCAAAUCUAGAGAAAAUCCACCUAAAUCAGUGGAGUGACUUCAAAUGUACGUGGAUGUGCAUGAGAUCAAAGUCCUGAGCCGCUGUUGAUAUCCAGACCUGGCACCAAUUUUUCUGAAGCUCUUUGCAAAAAAACAAAGCCUUUUUUGGGGCGAGACUUUUGUCUGAUCAAUGCAGUUGGAAAUGUCUUUCUAUUAUUAACAUACUUGCUGAAGUUGAGCAUUAGUUUCACUUUUUCAAGAAUGUAAUACAGCUGCAUUUUCUGGAGAGAAACACCAUCAAAAAUAUGUUAACCAUAUAGUCAACAGCUACGCCUUGUUUACUCUUAUGCAUAAAACCAUAUGGAGACAAAUCUGUAAGGAAACAUUUUUCAACCUUCCUAUGGAUAAAAAACAAAACAACAACAACAACAAAAAUCAAAAAAAGCAAUGGGAAAGGAUUGAAUGGAACAAGUCCUGGCCUCUGCUGUGCUGGUGAGCAGGAGGGACCAGAGGAUGCAGGGAACCUCGAACCUCACCCCAACAAGCAGUCAGAUAAGAUUGUUCUUUCAUGAGCUAGAGCACUGAUGGUCACCAGAGUAUUAGCAAACCUGCCGUGGACACGAACUUGCAAGGAGUGGAGCACUGCCGCUGGCUCCCAGUCACAGGAUGAGGCCCUUGUCCCCUAGGAGUGUAUUCUGGAGGUUGCCAGGAAGGGUGUGACAUUUACCCCUCUAUAGGACAGACCCAGGCUGAAAAAACGGGUCACUCUGCCAGUGAAGGAAUGAAACAGCUUCACUAAGGAUGUCUCCAUACACAAAUAUUACGGUUGGAAACAAAAAGAGGAAAGACGAACAGCACUGACAGGAUCCCUCUAAAUGAGAUAUGUUUGCUGUGGAAGCAGAGGCUGACUUUUUUGCACAAGGUAUAGCUCUACCCUGGGGGGAAACAUGUAAAAAUGACUAUGAUUGGUCCCAUGGUUAUGGUUGCCUUGAUUUUCUAAGCCAAACAUACUCUGCCAGCAAGAUGUUUUUUUUCUAAUGGCCAGCCCUGCUACUUCAACCCAAAUGACAAAGGCCACAUCCUAAGCUUUUCAUUCCAUCCAGGAAGAGCACACACCAAUUGCUGAAACUUCCUUAGCCUGACGAAGCGUUUUUGAACCCGAAAGUUUGCUUAGUAAAUAUUCUCCAACUAUUUGGGUUGGUCUAAUAAAAGAUAUCAAAUUCA